AACGCACAUUGCGCCCUUUGGUAUUCCUUAGGGCAUGCCUGUUCGAGCGUCAUUUAAACCUUCAAGCUCAGCUUGGUGAUGGGUGACUGUCCUCCCCUCGCGGGGGGACUCGCCUCAAAAACAUUGGCGGCCGGUACAUUGGCUUCGAGCGCAGCAGAAACGCGGUCUCGAGUCCUGUGGAUCGGCUCCCAUAAGCCUCUUCUUUUAUUUUGACCUCGGAUCAGGUAGGGAUACCCGCUGAACUUAA
rnacentral:misc_RNA from 1 species